CCUACGGGAGGCAGCAGUGGGGAAUCUUGCGCAAUGGGCGAAAGCCUGACGCAGCCAUGCCGCGUGAAUGAUGAAGGUCUUAGGAUUGUAAAAUUCUUUCACCGGGGACGAUAAUGACGGUACCCGGAGAAGAAGCCCCGGCUAACUUCGUGCCAGCAGCCGCGGUAAUACGAAGGGGGCUAGCGUUGCUCGGAAUUACUGGGCGUAAAGGGAGCGUAGGCGGACAUUUAAGUCAGGGGUGAAAUCCCAGAGCUCAACUCUGGAACUGCCUUUGAUACUGGGUGUCUUGAGUGUGAUAGAGGUAUGUGGAACUCCGAGUGUAGAGGUGAAAUUCGUAGAUAUUCGGAAGAACACCAGUGGCGAAGGCGACAUACUGGAUCAUUACUGACGCUGAGGCUCGAAAGCGUGGGGAGCAAACAGGAUUAGAUACCCUGGUAGUCCACGCCGUAAACGAUGAUUGCUAGUUGUUGGGAUGUUUACAUCUCGGUGACACAGCUAACGCAUUAAGCAAUCCGCCUGGGGAUACGGUCGCAAGAUUAAAACUCAAAUGAAUUGACGG
rnacentral:rRNA from 1 species